GUUAGUGUUAGUUUCUGACUACGACCUAAAGAAAUUGGAACGACCAAUAAAGUCAUCCUUAUUGGCCUUAGGAGUAAAUCAAUGGCUUCUCAUCAAUUAAUUGUAAAUGCCCUUGGAAAAACUCAAGGCAAUACC